GGAAUCCUGGUGUGAUGGCUGGAGUUUCAGUGGCCGUUUUAAGAGCAUGGGGUGAUGGUCAACCCCCGAAGAAGAAGAAGAAGAAGAAGAAGAAGAUGGAGAAAGGGGCUGGGUCCUUGGUGUCCGCGUGGACUGGCCAUACCAGCCCUGGAUGUCUUGCCUCUGGACUGACAUUAUAGGAGAGAAAGAGAAAUCCUUCUUUUGUUUAAGCCACCAGUUUUCCGGCUUGUGUUACUCCAGUUGAACAUAAUAUCUAAUUGUCAGUGCAAUAAGUACUUUGAUUUUCCGGUCCUAGAAACGUGUUGCCUGUAGCCUGACAGGGCAAUCUGUAGGGUGGGGCCUGGCUGGAGGAGGACCAGGCUGGGGAAACUGUCUCUGGCACUGAUGGAAAAGAGGCAGAGAGAGGCGCUCCGCGCUGAUGACUCUGUAGCUGAGAAAUUGGCAGGCGGCGUUAGCCCCUCUGAGAAUCUCGAAACAGACGGUGUUUGAAGUGGGGUGGGGAUGCCAUCCUGCGUCUUCUAAGAAGCACCUGAGGAUAAAAGCUCUGGAAGCUGAGGUGUCUGUAAAAGUGACAUGCCGAGAAUCACUAACUGGCUGUGAAGGCUCCUCGGGUCCUUUAUGUUCCCUCUGCGUGGAGCAGAAGGCCCCUCCGCUCAAGCAGACGUUGUCCUACCCUCGAGGGGUGAUGAAGAUGAGGUUGAGCAGCAUAAACUCAUCACCUCGAAGAUCAUAAGCUUUCCUCUCUGCUCACCAGUCAGAUGCCCAUUUCUCCCUUGGUCCAGUCAAUGAAGAGUGACAGCCACUAUUUAGAAUUCCAGCAAAGAGCAACCAUAACUGUUUGUCACCUGCUCAGCAUCUAAACAAUGGCCUGGCUGCUCACCUGCCCAGCCUGGAC
rnacentral:lncRNA from 1 species